rnacentral:tRNA from 1 species
GGGUGGAUACAGCGUAAUUGGUAGCGUCGCUGACUGUAAAUCAGUUGUCUUCGGAUGUUGGAGGUUCGAGUCCUUCUCCGCCCA